rnacentral:rRNA from 1 species
UACGGAGGGGGCUAGCGUUGUUCGGAAUUACUGGGCGUAAAGCGCACGUAGGCGGGUCUUUAAGUCAGGGGUGAAAUCCUGGAGCUCAACUCCAGAACUGCCUUUGAUACUGAAGAUCUUGAGUUCGGGAGAGGUGAGUGGAACUGCGAGUGUAGAGGUGAAAUUCGUAGAUAUUCGCAAGAACACCAGUGGCGAAGGCGGCUCACUGGCCCGAUACUGACGCUGAGGCACGAAAGCGUGGGGAGCAAACAGG